rnacentral:rRNA from 1 species
CCCUUAGAUGUUCUGGGCCGCACGCGUGCUACACUGAGUGGAUCAGCGGGUCAGGUUGCGCGAAAGUGUUUCCUAAUCUUUAAAUCCGCUCGUGAUGGGGAUUGACGGUUGCAAUUUUCCGUCAUGAACGAGGAAUACCUUGUAAGCGCGGGUCAUCAUCCCGCGCUGAAUACGUCCCUGCCCUUUGUACACACCGCCCGUCGCUCCUACCGAUUGAGUGGUCCGGUGAAGCCUCGGGAUUGUGGUUCUUGCCGCUUUAUUGUGGCGUGACCGCGAGAACUUGUCUAAACCUUGUCACCUAGAGGAAGGUGAAGUCGUAACA